rnacentral:rRNA from 1 species
GAUGAACGCUGGCGGCGUGCCUAAUACAUGCAAGUCGAGCGAACAGAUGAGGAGCUUGCUCCUCUGACGUUAGCGGCGGACGGGUGAGUAACACGUGUAUAACCUACCUAUAAGACUGGGAUAACUUCGGGAAACCGGAGCUAAUACCGGAUAAUAUAUUGAACCGCAUGGUUCAAUAGUGAAAGACGGUUUUGCGGUCACUUAUAGAUGGAUCCGCGCCGCAUUAGCUAGUUGGUAAGGUAACGGCUUACCAAGGCAACGAUGCGUAGCCGACGUGAGAGGGUGAUCGGCCACACUGGAACUGAGACACGGUCCAGACUCCUACGGGAGGCAGCAGUAGGGAAUCUUCCGCAAUGGGCGAAAGCCUGACGGAGCAACGCCGCGUGAGUGAUGAAGGUCUUCGGAUCGUAAAAAUCUGUUAUUAGGGAAGAACAAAUGUGUAAGUAACUAUGCACGUCUUGACGGUACCUAAUCAGAAAGCCACGGCUAACUACGUG